GACAGAGGGGGCAAGCGUUGCUCGGAAUUACUGGGCGUAAAGGGCGCGUAGGCGGUCUGGCAAGUCGGUCGUGAAAUCCUUCGGCUCAACCGAAGAACGUCGAUCGAAACUGCCGUUCUUGAGGAUUGCAGAGGAGACUGGAAUUCCCGGUGUAGCGGUGAAAUGUGUAGAGAUCGGGAGGAACACCGGUGGCGAAGGCGGGUCUCUGGGCAAUUCCUGACGCUGAGGAGCGAAAGCUAGGGGAGCAAACGGG
rnacentral:rRNA from 1 species